rnacentral:rRNA from 1 species
AUGGAUGUGCUUAUAGCUAGGAUCAAGUCCGAAGGGAAGAUAUGGUCGUUGGCCGGCAAGUUCAAAGGGGAUGUUGAACCCUUCUUUGGUAGUUUAGAAAGGCAUUGGGCUCACCAUCUUGACGAGGGUGCUUCUCUUGAAGCUGAAUGGAAUGCAAGGUUUGCAAAAUAUGAAAAGAAAUACCACCAGGAGGCUGUCGAGCUAAAUAGCAUAAUAUCAAGGAAGCUUCCGGCUGGGUGGGAAGAUGCUUUUUUGAAAUAUACCCCUGAAAGUCCUGUUGAUGCUACAAGGAACCUAUCUCAACAAUGCUUGAAUGCUCUUGCUAAAGUAUUACCUGGAUUUCUUGGAGGCAGUGCUGAUCUUGCAUCAUCAAACAUGACAUUGCUAAAGAUGUUUGUUGAUUUCCGGAAGGACACCCCUAAAGAGCGAAACAUCCGUUUCGGCGUUAGAGAGCAUGCAAUUGGCGCCGUUUGCAAUGGCAUUGCUGUGCACAGCCCUGGCCUGAUACCUUACUGUUCGACAUUCUUUGUGUUCACUGACUACAUGAGAGCUCCUAUACGGCAUUAUCUGAAUUUUGUGAUGACUCAUGAUUCCAUUGGACUUGGAGAAGAUGGGCCGACACAUCAGCCGGUUGAGCAGUUAUUCAGCCUCCAAGCAAUGCCAGGCAUAUUAAUGCUCCGACCGGCUGAUGUAACCGAGACUUCUGCGGCUUAG